UACCUACAAAGAGGGUGUCUCACCGAAAGGUAGCUAAAACCUCUCCAGAACGGCGCACGGAACUGUGGAGACACAGCGGAAGGCUCCUCUGGAGCCUCAUAUCUGGGCCGAACCCUAGACCCAGCGCUUCAAGGAGCCCCUCGCUUGGAUCACACAACAUCCAUCACUGGAUUUAGCUUGCAGAUACUUCCAACUGGCUGAUCACUGAGCUCUGGGAAAACCAGUGUUCUUUCCAUGGCCAAUAUCUUGAAGCAGGACUGUGAAAUUCUUGACGGGCAGAAUGAUGGGCAACUCCAAAGCUGAGACUCCAGCUCAGUGACUGACAUAAAGUAUGAACAAUCCAGAAAUAGCCUUUGCUGAGAGUUCUUUCACUUCCUGGCACGGAUUCAAGUUUUCUCCCCAACUUGCCUCAGCCUUGACAACAUCACGUUUUAGUACUAAAUGACGAGCUGCUGUUUGGGAUGCUGUUAAUACAUUAACUUAACUUUUGAAUGACAUGAAUUUUUCAAAAAAAAUUAACAUUAUGAGUAAAAGUGCUAUUUUUUUUUCCAAGAUAGGGUUUCUCUGUAUAGUCUCGGCUGUCCUGGAACUCACUGUGUAGACCAGGUUGGCCUCAAACUCAGAAAUCUGCCUGUCUCUGCCUCCCAAGUGCUGAGAUUAAAGGCAUGUGCUACCACUGCCAGGCUAAAAGUACUACUUAUGAUAAUGUGUGACUGUAGGUUUUCAAUUCCUUUGGAUAAAUGCCAGGGACAUGUUUGUUGGAUAGUUUAAUAAAUGUAGUUAGCUUUCUGUGAAACCUACAAGCUAUCUUCCAAGGGGAUUAUCUUAAUCCCCACCAGUAAAGAAUGGCAGUCUCAGGUCCUACAUUCAAUAAAUACCAAUUUU
rnacentral:lncRNA from 1 species